rnacentral:rRNA from 1 species
CCUACGGGAGGCAGCAGUGAGGAAUAUUGGUCAAUGGGCGGGAGCCUGAACCAGCCAAGUCGCGUGAGGGACGACGGUCCUAUGGAUUGUAAACCUCUUUUGUCGGGGAACAAAGGCGUCCACGGGUGGGCGGAUGAGUGUACCCGAAGAAAAAGCAUCGGAUAACUCCGUGCCAGCAGCCGCGGUAAUACGGAGGAUACGAUGGUUAUCCGGAUUUAUGGGGCUUAACGGGAGGGUAGUCGGACAGUCAAGUUAGCGGUAAAAAUGCGGUGCUCAACGCCGUACAGCCGUUGAAACUGGCAGUCUUGAGUGGGCGAGAGGGAUGCAGAAUGCGAGGUGUAGCGGUGAAAUGCAUAGAGAUCACGAAGAACACCGAUUGCGAAGGCAGCAUACCGGAGCCCUACUGACGCUGAGGUGCGAAAGCGUGGGUAUCGAACAGGAUUAGAUACCCGGGUAGUC